rnacentral:rRNA from 1 species
CAGUAGCCGCGGUAAUACAGAGGGUGCGAGCGUUAAUCGGAUUUACUGGGCGUAAAGCGUGCGUAGGCGGCUUCUUAAGUCGGAUGUGAAAUCCCUGAGCUUAACUUAGGAAUUGCAUUCGAUACUGGGAAGCUAGAGUAUGGGAGAGGAUGGUAGAAUUCCAGGUGUAGCGGUGAAAUGCGUAGAGAUCUGGAGGAAUACCGGUGGCGAAGGCGGCCCCCUGGACAAAGACUGACGCUCAGGUGCGAAAGCGUGGGGAGCAAACAGGAUUAGAUACCCGCGUAGUCCCUGUCUCUUAUAC